rnacentral:piRNA from 1 species
UCACAGACAGAUAAGCCUACCUGGCCU